CAUAGGUACAAAGGGGUGACCCCCCGCACCCUUUCUAGGGCUUCUACCUUCAGAGUACGCUCUGUCAUUGUAUGCACAGACCAGGGCGCACUAGAUGCAUGUAUUCUGGCACCUCUAUGCUUCAACUGGGGUUCCGUACGCCCUUCCCUUAACCAAGAAGGAGAACUCACAGUGCUGCCAAAACUCCACAAUUCUAGACCAUAUAAGGAUGAACCCCGUGGACUAUAUAUAUUGAGGCUUUCACGUCUCCCAGACUCGGGCUACGUCCCGACAUUGCAGACCGCUCAUCCCGGUCUUACUGAGGGUGUCCUCAUUCUCAGACCACUCCCCGGAUCCUGCAAAAAUGAUACUGAUUGAUCAAAAUUCUGGGUGACCCCCAGUUAUACGCGGAGGCCUACUGAGUGGCAAUAAGUGUACUGUUGUACGAUCCUGUCUCCCACGGACCGAAAGGGUGUGAACCAACAUGUCGGACUUACCUCAAUAUCUCCGACCGAUUUUCAGGCGAGGAUUAAGGCUGCCAUGACAGCUCCGGGGGAAGAAGUCCUCUCCAGUAUGCUGGCUAACAACCCAUCCGACAGAGCGGGUGCAACGGCAGCAACACCAAUGGAAGAUUGAGAUACCGACGUUAGGUCGGACACCCAUCAUCAGGGGACGAGGACUUCAUCCUCCCCCCCCUUCUCUGGAGAUCAUGAAAGAAUGGAGGGCAGAAGAGGUAAAAGUGACAAGACACGCCUAGCAAGAAAGGUUUUUUCUUUGGCACACUGGACACUCCUGUUUUGACUCACGCACCAUCCGACAAGCAGGGUCAUCCGAAUGGGGUUAACUGGAGCACCGGGCCCACUUCUGGCUUAGGAGGCCUAUGGGAAAAGAAAUCCGAGACCGGCUCAGGAUGGAAUGCCCACGCCCUCUAUGUCCGAACAAGAUAGUCCUCACUAUGGAGCUCGUG